rnacentral:rRNA from 1 species
AGUGAACGCUGGCGGCGUGCCUAAUACAUGCAAGUCGAACGGAGUGGCGCACGGGUGAGUAAUAUAUAGCUAAUCUGCCCCUUGCUGGAGGACAACAGUUAGAAAUGACUGCUAAUACCCCAUAGGAAGGGAUGAGGCUAUAUCGUAUCAGCUGGUCGGUGGGGUAACGGCCUACCGAGGCUAUGACGCGUAACUGGUCUGCUGGGAUGCUCAGUCACAUUGGAACGGAGACAAGGUGCAAACUCCUGCGGGAAGCAGCAGUAGGGAAUAUUGCGCAAUGGGGGAAUCCCUGACGGAGCAACGGCACGUGGAGGAUGACACUUGUCGGAGCGUAAACUCCUGUUUUUAGGGAAGCGGUACCUGACGAAUAAGCACCGGCUAACUCCGUGCCAGCAGCCGCGGUAAUUC